rnacentral:rRNA from 1 species
UGCACCUACGGGGGGCAGCAGUGAGGAAUAUUGGUCAAUGGGCGAGAGCCUGAACCAGCCAAGUCGCGUGAGGGAAGACGGCCCUACGGGUUGUAAACCUCUUUUGUCAGGGAGCAAGAACGGAUACGUGUAUCCGAGCGAGAGUACCUGAAGAAAAAGCAUCGGCUAACUCCGUGCCAGCAGCCGCGGUAAUACGGAGGAUGCGAGUGUUAUCCGGAUUUAUUGGGUUUAAAGGGUGCGUAGGCGGACUGUUAAGUCAGCGGUAAAAGCCCGGGGCUCAACCCCGGCGAGCCGUUGAAACUGGG